rnacentral:lncRNA from 13 species
AGGCGGGGGCCGCGGCGGACGAGGGUCUGGUGCGGAAAUGCACCGAGUGGCUGCGCGGCGUGGAGAGCGCGGCCGGCCGCGACCACCCCGAACGGCUGGAGACGCUGCCGCACUUGGGCACCCUCUGAGCCCCGCCAGGACCGGGGAGCGGCACGGCGGGGGCUAGAGGAGCUGUCGGACCGGGGGGAGGUGGGGCCGCCAUCCGCGAUGUCGUGUUCCGUGUGCUGUUGUCGGCGCCAGAGCAGCGGAGCCCCUGGCCCGGAGCCGAUCCUCGGGGCGCCGCCGCCGCCGCCGGGGCGAGGGACAAAGGAGCGGCGUCGGCCUCCGCCCGCCGGUGCCCGGGUGCUGGGAGGGAGGGCACCGGCUGUGGGCGUCCUGCCUCCACCCUCGCGGUUUUUCUAAAGAUUUCUGACUACUUUAUAGAAUGUGCGUAAUGGUUUUGUAUAUUUGUAUAUAAAAGUUCAUUUUUAUUUAUUUGAAUAAAGGACUCUUGUGUUGCGGUAGCCUUUGCGCCUUGAUAGCUUCGCGUUGGGCCGUCCCAGCCUGGCGGUGUCCCUAUCUCGGUGUCCACAAGGUAAGGAUGGCGGGCUGGUCACCGUGCGAAGAGCCUGUGCCGUUCACACGUUUGCUCCUCUAACAGUCGCCGACAUCUCGGCUCCGGGGAGAACGCAGAGCCGCGGAUUCGGCGAGGCGGCGCAGGCAGGGUACCGAGCGGGCGGGGGCCAGCCCGUCGCUGCCGGGGCAGAUGGCAGCAGUGCCGGCCACCGCGCCAGCGGGGAGCAGCCCUCCCGGGGAGAGACAGGGACAACGGGAGGAGGAUGGGGCAGUGCGGGCGGCCGCGGCGUGGGCAGAGGUUGCUCCAGUCCCCUGUGCCGGGGAACCGGAGACGAGCGGCUGGGUCUUGGCGAUUUCAUCCCCGCCCAGGCAGUAAUUCAGAUACAUCCGAUCUUUCGAGCUGCUGUCAAUGUACGAGGUGGAAUAGGAAGGAAGGAGGGAGGGAGCUCAGAGCAGCAUCCUUUGUCAGCGUCCCCCGGCCUCCCAUCCCCGGGGCCCGCUGCAGCCUUCUCUGCUCCGGGCUAUGGCCAUGUCUGGUGCUCCUUAGAGCUCUGUGUGUUGGGAGAGGCGAGGAGGGGACGGGAGAGGCCAAGUGUACAAAAAUUACGGGCGGAAAGGGAAGGAUGCUUUCUUCAGAAGAAGAAAAUUUGGAGAAUACUGAAGAGGAAGAGGGGAAAAGUGACUGCAGGGAAAACUGAGAGCUGGAUGCUGAUCCAAUGGAGGACCCACAUCAGUUUCUCUGUUGGAUAUAGCAGCAGGUGUUACGAGAAAACCCCCAUAAAGUGUCUGCAGUGUGCCCUUGAAGCUGUGUCACUGAGACAGAUACCUACCUGUGGGAAUUGGAAGUGCUCUUCAGGAACUGUGAUGCCUUGUGCUGACAAGUCCUUGCACUCAGCUAGACUUCUGGGAUCAGCACUCUGCCAACGGCCGCCUUGUUCUCAUAAACACACAAAGCCCCAAAAAGAAACCCAGCAAAUAUUUCCUAUGGCUUUGAAAAUGGGCUUUAAUAUCUCAUGA